GACGAACGCUGGCGGCGUGCCUAAUACAUGCAAGUAGAACGCUGAAGGAGGAGCUUGCUUCUCCGGAUGAGUUGCGAACGGGUGAGUAACGCGUAGGUAACCUGCCUGGUAGCGGGGGAUAACUAUUGGAAACGAUAGCUAAUACCGCAUAACAGUAGAUGUUGCAUGACAUUUGCUUAAAAGGUGCAAUUGCAUCACUACCAGAUGGACCUGCGUUGUAUUAGCUAGUUGGUGAGGUAACGGCUCACCAAGGCGACGAUACAUAGCCGACCUGAGAGGGUGAUCGGCCACACUGGGACUGAGACACGGCCCAGACUCCUACGGGAGGCAGCAGUAGGGAAUCUUCGGCAAUAGACGGAAGUCUGACCGAGCAACGCCGCGUGAGUGAAGAAGGUUUUCGGAUCGUAAAGCUCUGUUGUAAGAGAAGAACGAGUGUGAGAGUGGAAAGUUCACACUGUGACGGUAGCUUACCAGAAAGGGACGGCUAACUACGUG
rnacentral:rRNA from 1 species